ensembl:snRNA U6 U6 spliceosomal RNA
GUGCUCACUUCGGCAGCACAUGUACUAAAAAUUGGAACGAUACAGAGAAGAUUUGCACAAAGAUGACACACAAAUGCAUGAAGCUUUCCAUAUUUUU